rnacentral:ncRNA from 1 species
AUCUUGGUAUAAACCUUGAAGGUCGAGGUGGAAAAUGGUUCCAUGGUAACAGCAAUUGGCUGUGGAUCAGAGGGUCCUAGGUAAUCCGUUAACCUGUAACAGAUAUGGGGUGCCUGACAUUGUCCAGUUGAUGUGCACUUACACAGCACCUUUUGUAGGGAAAAGAAAUGAGUUCAAUAUUCCUGACCAUACUUACGGCGAUUAAUGUAUUAUGGUCUGAUACCAGUUGGAAUUCUAGUGUGAUAAUGGAACUGCCUUGGAGACGUCGGUAAGCGUUCUGGAAAGUGUUUUUUCUGAGGAGUGCAUUAUUAUUUCCUGAAAUCGGGUUGCCCAGAGGUGGGCAUCUGACCUUCAUAAAGCGUCAUAUUUCUCGUCUUGUUUUGACCCUUGGGAAUCCGAGUGAGACAAUACGAUUUUUUAGACAGGUCGUACCUAUAUCUGCAUUAAGUAUCCAAAAUGAACGGCCUCUGACU